rnacentral:lncRNA from 1 species
GUGGUGAGUUUUUGGUCUGCAGGGGUGGUGGGUUGGGUGUCCGGAGUAGUGGGUGUGGGAAAGCUGGCAUUGCCCCCGUGGGGAUUUUCUUGCCUUCUCCAGACAUGACAUCCAACGCGGACAUCCCAGUCGACAGCGCGGAGAUCGAUGAUAUCCUGUCGUGGAUCAGCAACGGUGAGUUCAGGGGCUGCAGAGCAGGCGGGGAUGUCUGCUCCGAGUGGCUGUGGGAAAGCUGGCAUUGCCCCCUUGGGGAUUUCUUCCUUUUCCCAGACGGGACACCCAGCUCAGGCAUUCCAGAUGACAGCCUGGAACUCGACGGUUUGCUCAGCUGGAUCGUUGGUGAGUUCAGG